rnacentral:rRNA from 1 species
CAGUCGCCACGGUAAUACGUAGGUCCCGAGCGUUAUCCGGAUUUAUUGGGCGUAAGGCGAGCGCAGGCGGUUAGAUAAGUCUGAAGUUAAAGGCUGUGGCUUAACCAUAGUACGCUUUGGAAACUGUUUAACUUGAGUGCAAGAGGGGAGAGUGGAAUUCCAUGUGUAGCGGUGAAAUGCGUAGAUAUAUGGAGGAACACCGGUGGCGAAAGCGGCUCUCUGGCUUGCAACUGACGCUGAGGCUCGAAAGCGGGGGAGCAAACAGGAUUAGAUACCCCCGUAGUCCCUGUCUCUUAUACAC